GCCAAAAAAGACAAUAAUCAUUUAUAAUUUGAAGAGGAUGAAAAUUUGAUUAAAAAUUUUUUGGAGGAAAGCAUCAGCUCAUAAGUCUUUUAUGUUUUUUUUUGUUAUAUAUGAUAACCACUCUUUGAAGAUGUUGUUUUAUGAUAUCCUUUACACUUUUCCAUUGUAGAGAGGUCAUGUACAUCAAUGAAUAUGGAGGCAGUAUCACAAGGUCAUAUGUUCACGAUCUUCUUGUUGA
rnacentral:lncRNA from 1 species